AUUGAACGCUGGCGGCAGGCUUAACACAUGCAAGUCGAGCGGGGGAAGGUAGCUUGCUACCGGACCUAGCGGCGGACGGGUGAGUAAUGCUUAGGAAUCUGCCUAUUAGUGGGGGACAACAUCUCGAAAGGGAUGCUAAUACCGCAUACGUCCUACGGGAGAAAGCAGGGGAUCUUCGGACCUUGCGCUAAUAGAUGAGCCUAAGUCAGAUUAGCUAGUUGGUGGGGUAAAGGCCUACCAAGGCGACGAUCUGUAGCGGGUCUGAGAGGAUGAUCCGCCACACUGGGACUGAGACACGGCCCAGACUCCUACGGGAGGCAGCAGUGGGGAAUAUUGGACAAUGGGGGAACCCUGAUCCAGCCAUGCCGCGUGUGUGAAGAAGGCCUUAUGGUUGUAAAGCACUUUAAGCGAGGAGGAGGCUACUUUAGUUAAUACCUAGAGAUAGUGGACGUUACUCGCAGAAUAAGCACCGGCUAACUCUGUGCCAGCCGCCGCCGUAA
rnacentral:rRNA from 1 species